AGUGAACGCUGGCGGUAGGCCUAACACAUGCAAGUCGAACGGCAGCACAGUAAGAGCUUGCUCUUACGGGUGGCGAGUGGCGGACGGGUGAGGAAUACAUCGGAAUCUACUUUUUCGUGGGGGAUAACGUAGGGAAACUUACGCUAAUACCGCAUACGACCUACGGGUGAAAGCAGGGGAUCUUCGGACCUUGCGCGAUUGAAUGAGCCGAUGUCGGAUUAGCUAGUUGGCGGGGUAAAGGCCCACCAAGGCGUCGAUCCGUAGCUGGUCUGAGAGGAUGAUCAGCCACACAGGAACUGAGACACGGUCCAGACUCCUACGGGAGGCAGCAGUGGGGAAUAUUGGACAAUGGGCGCAAGCCUGAUCCAGCCAUACCGCGUGGGUGAAGAAGGCCUUCGGGUUGUAAAGCCCUUUUGUUGGGAAAGAAAAGCAGCAGGUUAAUACCCCGCUGUUCUGACGGUACCCAAAGAAUAAGCACCGGCUAACUUCGUG
rnacentral:rRNA from 1 species